GAUGAACGCUGGCGGCGUGCUUAACACAUGCAAGUCGAACGAUGAAGCCCAGCUUGCUGUGUGGAUUAGUGGCGAACGGGUGAGUAACACGUGAGUAACCUGCCCUUAACUCUGGGAUAAGCCUGGGAAACUGGGUCGAAUACCGGAUAGGAGCGUCCACCGCAUGGUGGGUGUUGGAAAGAUUUAUCGGUUUUGGAUGGACUCGCGGCCUAUCAGCUUGUUGGUGAGGUAAUGGCUCACCAAGGCGACGACGGGUAGCCGGCCUGAGAGGGUGACCGGCCACCCUGGGCCUGAGUCACGGCCCAGUCUCCUACGGGCGGCAGCAGUGGGGAAUCUUGCACAAUGGGCCCAAGCCUGAUGCAGCGACGCCGCGUGCGGGAUGCCGGCCUUCGGGUUGUAAACCUCUUUCAGUAGGGAAGAAGCGAACGUGACGGUACCUGCACAAGAAGCACCGGCUAACUACGUG
rnacentral:rRNA from 1 species